ACUGCAACAAAGUAUGAAUUGAAGUUCUGAAGGAAACGUGAAACGUAAUUCAGAAAAAUUUGAGUAAAGACUGUGAGAACUAGAGUACAGAGAGAAAGUUUCAAAACUAAAUGGAAUAUCAGAGAAAAGUGUAUGGAGCUUAACAGGCGAGACAGUAUGAUUGGAAUGAGACCCUGUCUGUCUCAAGGCGCAGACAGACCUGAACGUGUCAUUCUGAUGGGUCAGAAAGGAUCAAAUAUGAGCAAUCACAGCACAUUAAAAUCUCCUGGACCCGUCCUCCUGACAGCAUCCCAAUCAGCACAACUGAAAUGCC